GCAUCCACGAAAAGAGAACAAUCGAAAACCAAUCAGGUCUGUGAAUCAAAAUCCAUUUUAAUUCAUUCUCCAUUGGCUCCCACUCAAACUUGUUCUGUUCAUGUGUUUUUGGUUACUGACUUCGAUUUCAUUCCACUGGAUUUUCUUCACCUUCUCACUUAUUUCGUUACAUACAAUUCCGUGCUCGCCAUUCAAUUUGGCCAUCCUUCGAUUGAAUCUUAACCUAGUUUACUCUAAAUCUUCCGUUAAAUGUUCAGCAGUACUUUGAUGGCGCUGAAUCUUUUGAUUUAAUGCGGAAUUUUCAUGUUGCUUUCUUGAUAACUCUAGGUUAGGAACGAGAAGCUGUAUCGUCUCGACGGGAUGGCAGCGUCGGCAAAAACUGUCUCCAUUCCAGAUCAGUCAAAUAGUGGGGACUGGACGGUUGUUCUUCCUCGUCGUGGCAAGCAGAAGAAAACUUUUCCGAAGCUCAGGAUUCGAGAAGAUCAACGGACUUGGUCUCCCACUGAUCAGGCCAAUGAUACAAUUAGAGAAUCGAAACUGUUGCAGAAGAUGGAAAUCUGUAUAAAAAAACUUGAGAAUUCCCAAUUUUAUCAAACUCUUGUUGAGGAGCUUGAAACAAUGCCAUUCUUGGAAUCGUUAAAUAGGGUUUUGGGCUCGGAGUCAAAGAUGGGGAUGGUUGUCUAUGGCGUAGGAAGCAUUGAGAAUUAUGAAAAUCCUCGAUUGCAGCUUAGUCUUGCAAUAUUGUUGAAGAGAAAAUUUAGUUGGAUUGAAAGUUUGGAGGUGUUUGAUCCAAUUCUUUCUGCAACUGAAUGUCGAUUAAUGGAAUCCUUUGGUUGUUCUGUUCUAUCAUUUAAUGAACAAGGAAGACGAUGUGCAGAGAAGCCAACAAUGUUCUUCAUGCCCCAUUGUGAAGCAGAGUUGUACAACAAUCUUUUACAGGAAAAUUGGAAGGUUGGGCUGUUGAAUCAUAUUGUGUUGUUUGGGAAUAGCUUUGAGAUUUAUGAACAGUUUGUAUCUGAAUUCAAAAACUCACCCGUUGUUGAUUCAUCGAAGUUCAUCUUGGCCUCAAGAAAGUUCAUACGGGAGAUCAAAAUCAAGACAGUUUCAGAUGAUUAUUUUGGUGCGUUUCAUGAUUCAAGUUGGCAAUUUUUCAGCCCUGUUUCACCACUGGAGCUGCAAUUCAUAGAUCUUUGAAGGACAUUGCUUAGUGAUUGAAGAAACAGCCAGCUGCAGAAAUCAUCAUUUGGCAUCUUAUAAGAGAUUUAGUACAAUCAGAAGCCUAAGAACAUGAUCAUACAAGAGUCAGAAGCUUAAAUUCACAAGAGUAUGCAAUAGGGUCCAUGAUGAGACACUUUCAGUGAAAAAAACAGUGGUGAAUUUGGAAUAAGAGACUUUACUUUCUACAAAACAGUACUCAAAUUUUGAUUUAGGUAUUGAAAUCACGGUCUCGUUCCAUGAGGUUCUAACAUUUGCCAAAAACAUGUUGUUGCUUACCACUUUUAGUGGAGGGAUAUGCUCGGGAAUCGACAACAUUAGGCUCUCAUUCCAAACUGGGUUUAGGUUGUUCUUUAUGACACGAGUCCUCACAGACUGCAACAUACAACAAUAUUAGCAAUGCCAAAUAACAAAGUAGCUGAUACCAAUCUUCACAACAAAGGUAUAUAAGAGAGGCUCACUUGAUGCCCUAACGAGAGAAUUACAUAGGGAUCGCUGGUCACCACGUCUCGGACAGCUAGGUUUCUCCCUUUAACCACAUUGACCUUAACCAAGCCAACAAAUUCAACCAUACCUGCCUACAAUCAUUACAUCUGAUGUAAUAAGAUCCAACAUCCAUGUCAAACGAAAAAAAUUUAACCCAUAACAGUUGCUUUGCUUUUAUUUCCAACGUGCAUCCUCUUAGCCCUUAGGGUUUCAGUCUAAUCUUCAAGACUCCAACAUAAACUAGACUGCUACUGCAAGCUCAAAGUUCCACCUAUAACUUUUCAUCUUUUUGUUGAUGGAGGACGUGUCAUGGUAUGGAUUUAAAUGAGUUGGCUAAUCAGGCCAUUUUGAACUGAGUAGAACUUGUAAGUGGGCACAUUCAGUCCCUCAUCUUGAAUGUAUUGCGCACAACUUAAACAAACAUAUUUUUAUGGAUCAAUAAAUCAUAUGAUCCCUAUUAUAUUAUGUAAUCCUCAAUUUGGUCCUCAAAGAAGUUUGCUUCCAAUAUCUUAAAUUGGUAGAAGAAUGGUAGUCGCUGAGACUUCAAGUCUUCCCUAGUUA